rnacentral:rRNA from 1 species
AACAGGGAUUGCCUCAGUAACGGCGAGUGAAGCGGCAAAAGCUCAAAUUUGAAAUCUAGCACCUUCGGUGUUCGAGUUGUAAUUUGAAGAUGGUAACCUUGGGUUUGGCUCUUGUCUAUGUUCCUUGGAACAGGACGUCAUAGAGGGUGAGAAUCCCGUCUGAUGAGAUGCCCAUUCCUAUGUAAGGUGCUAUCGAAGAGUCGAGUUGUUUGGGAAUGCAGCUCUAAGCGGGUGGUAAAUUCCAUCUAAGGCUAAAUAUUGGCGAGAGACCGAUAGCGAACAAGUACUGUGAAGGAAAGAUGAAAAGCACUUUGAAAAGAGAGUGAAACAGCACGUGAAAUUGUUGAAAGGGAAGGGUAUUGGGCUCGACAUGGGGGGUGCGCACCGCUGUCUCUUGUAGGCGGCGCUCUGGGCGCCCUCUGGGCCAGCAUCGGUUCCUGCUGCGGGAGAAGGGGCUCCGGAAAGUGGCUCUUCGGAGUGUUAUAGCCGGGGCCAGAUGCCGCGUGUGGGGACCGAGGACUGCGGCUUCUGUCUCGGAUGCUGGCAUAACGGCGCAAUACCGCCCGUCUUGAAACACGGACC